rnacentral:rRNA from 1 species
UACGUAGGGGGCAAGCGUUGUCCGGAAUCAUUGGGCGUAAAGAGCGUGUAGGCGGCCCGAUAAGUCCGCUGUGAAAGUCCAGGGCUCAACCCUGGAAUGCCGGUGGAUACUGUCGGGCUCGAGUUCGGAAGAGGUGAGUGGAAUUCCCAGUGUAGCGGUGAAAUGCGUAGAUAUUGGGAAGAACACCUGAGGCGAAGGCGGGUUGCUGGGCUGAUACUGACGCUGAGGCGCGAAAGCUAGGGGAGCAAACAGG